GCGGUUUUGAGUUGAUCCAUCUGGCGCGUGCUUCCUUCUAUUUCCCCACCCCGCCGGCCGGCGCCGCUCCUCACCGCCGUUCCCGGUGGAUGCGAUUCACGCCGGGGACGAUGAAGGCGGCAAGAGUGCCGUUUGCAAGGACCUAAUUUUCGAUUUUCCGAAUGAAUAUCUUUAAAACUUUAGUACCUUGUAUACUGGUCCAUAUCCACCUUCACCAAGCUUGUUGUCCGUUGAGAAACUAUCUGUGGCUGCUGCUAUUGUCUCCAAAUCAAAUAUUGGCAGUUCCAGGUCAUCCCCAUGACUAGUUCCUUCACUUUGGAGGCCUCUGCUGUGUGAAAUACCACUCCAUUUAUUUGGUCCUACAGGAAUAUCAAAUUUACAAAUUUCAUCAGCAAAUAAGAGGGCCAGGAGAUUUGAUUGGGGAUGGAAUUGUGAAGUACUAGCACUGUAGGAGGACCAACUCUAAAGUGCCAUCGACAAGCUUAAUGUGUCAGGUCAGUUAACUAUCGGAGGUUUCCCAUGUAGCUGAUAUGCAGCUAUUUACAGGAAACAAGUGUGAGCGUAUGAUUGGGCUGGCACCAAAGACGAGUCUUCUGCAGAGGUCUAGAGUUGCUUGGAAUGGAAUCAGUUGCAGCAUUGGCAAAUCAUCUUUUGCUCGUACUUCCAUUUUAGGUCACAUCAGGGAUAUCAUCCGAAAGCAACAGUACAAGGAUACUUUCUACGUGGAGAUGAGAUCUGGUAAGCAUCGGAGGCUAACCCCCUUCUGACCGUUCUGCUUAAUUUCCAUAUAUAUCAUGUGGUGGUUAUCCUACUUCGAUGUUACGGGGCAGACGUGUGCUGUUCGCCUGUUCUCUUCUGAAUUGAAGCUGGUCCACGCAGUGCCUUGCAAAAUGCCAAUUGCUAGCUUAUACAGGCAUGCUUGCUUGUUGCCUCUGAGAAAAAUCUUUUAAGUUAUCAUCGAGUCCCACCGAUAGGAUCCACAUGAGCGGGAAGACAGGAGCAGGGCAACAGAGUAUUAUUUCAAUUUUAGAAUCAUUUCUGUGACAUCGGCUUUUCUAAAUUAUGUUACUACCAGAGGUUGCUGUCAUUUUGUGCUCUUUCAAUAAAAUGUGGUCGCUUGCUUUCCCAUACGACAAAUGCUAAUUAUCACGGUCCAGCUCAGGUGCAUGGUUCUUGCAGGGACUGCAAGCCCAUAUUGGCUAGAACCAAUAAAAGAACAAGAGAAGGUUCCGCCGUUCCGUGACACAUUAAAAUAACCGUAUAAGUAUAACCCCUUUGCCCUAAAGAUAGCAUGUAAAAGAAGAAGGAAAAAUGCAUUAACUGUAUGGUGUUUUCACGGUCACGUAGAACCAAGAAUUCGUCGACAUCCCAUCGAGUAUACAUCAUGUGUGCUUUAUUUGCAGAUUUUCCAGGAUUUGAUCAUAACCUCUCAUCUCCCAAGGCUUAUAAUAUUUGUGUUCAGUGUAAACCAAAGGUAUUAGUUGCACUGCAUAUGAUACGACUUUAUUCGAUGAUAGCUAUUGUCAAUCCUAAUGAAUUAGUUUUUUAUUUGUGUCCCUAUAAAAGUGCCUUUUACUCAAAACGGUCGAGUAAAGAAGGCCCACGUGCAUGGAGAGAGUGGCUUCUCACUGAUUGAAACCAGUGGCUUGAAGCAGAAGCGAGAUCUAGCACAGUUUGAUUAAGACAAACUACAGUCUCCACAUGCCAAAAGCUAAACGCCUUGUUAAAAAAAAAGCCAAUACAAAAAGUUCAGAUUCCAAAACUAUGCAUGUCUACUGCGUCAAAAGGGUAGGACGGAACAAAUUCUUUUCGCCAACCAAGAACCGACCAAAAUGCACAGAUCAUGACUCAUGAGUACAUCACAUGGCAGAAUUUUGUAAACAAGAAGUGAACAAAAAAUAGGAAAGAAAGAAAUUUGACGUACCGAGG